rnacentral:ncRNA from 1 species
AGGAUAGAGGUUGCGUGACUCAUAAGUAAUACUUUGGAUGUGACAGGCACAGUUGAAGAAGUAUGAAAGGGACGAACGCCGAAAGUGAGAUGGGCUGAACAUCGAGCUUGGGCAUAAGGUUAACAGCUUUAUGACUGUCAUCUUAACUAAGAUGGGGAGCUAUC